AUUGAACGCUGGCGGCAGGCCUAACACAUGCAAGUCGAGCGAGCGGCGGACGGGUGAGUAAUGUAUGGGGACUGCCCGAUAGAGGGGGAUAACUACUGGAAACGGUGGCUAAUACCGCAUACUAUCGGAUAACCCAUAUGGGAUUGUCUAGUAGGUGGGGUAAAGGCUCACCUAGGCGACGAUCUCUCGCUGGUCUGAGAGGAUGAUCAGCCACACUGGGACUGCGCCACGGCCAAGACUCGUACGGAGGCAGCGUUGGUGAAUAUUGCACAAUGGGCGAAAGCCGGAUGCAGCCAUGCCGCGUGUAUGAAGAAGGCCUUAGGGUUGGAAAGGACUUUCAGCGGGGAGGCGGUAAGAGAAGAAGAAGCACCGGCUAACUCCGUGCCAGCAGCCGCGGUAAUUG
rnacentral:rRNA from 1 species